CGCACCUUGCGCUCCUUGGUAUUCCGAGGAGCAUGCCUGUUUGAGUGUCAUGAAAUCUUCAACCUAUAAGCUUUUGUGGUUUGUAGGCUUGGACUUGGAGGCUUGUCGGCCUUGAUCGGUCGGCUCCUCUUAAAUGCAUUAGCUUGAUUCCUUGCGGAUCGGCUCUCGGUGUGAUAAUAUCUACGCCGCGACCGUGAAGCGUUUGGCGAGCUUCUAACCGUCUCACUUGAGAGACAACUUUAUGACCUCUGACCUCAAAUCAGGUAGGACUACCCGCUGAACUUAA
rnacentral:misc_RNA from 1 species